CAGCAGCCGCGGGAAUACGGAGGGUGCAAGCGUUAAUCGGAAUUACUGGGCGUAAAGCGCACGCAGGCGGUCUGACAAGUCAGAUGUGAAAUCCCCGGGCUUAACCUGGGAACUGCAUUUGAAACUGUCAGGCUGGAGUCUUGUAGAGGGGGGUAGAAUUCCAGGUGUAGCGGUGAAAUGCGUAGAGAUCUGGAGGAAUACCGGUGGCGAAGGCGGCCCCCUGGACAAAGACUGACGCUCAGGUGCGAAAGCGUGGGGAGCAAACAGGAUUAGAUACCCGUGUAGUCCCUGUCUCUUAUAU
rnacentral:rRNA from 1 species